UACAGAGGGUGCUAGCGUUGUUCGGAAUCAUUGGGCGUAAAGGGCGUGUAGGCGGUUUGUUAAGUCAUGUGUGAAAUCCCUCGGCUCAACCGGGGAACGACGCAUGAAACUGGCAAGCUAGAGUACCAAAGAGGGGGGUGGAAUUCCCGGUGUAGCGGUGAAAUGCGUAGAGAUGUGGAGGAACACCGAUGGCGAAGGCAGCCCCCUGGGUCAAGAUUGACGCUCAUGCACGAAAGCGUGGGGAGCAAACAGG
rnacentral:rRNA from 1 species